AGACCGUGAUGUGGACAUAUCCUCAUCAUUCCUUUGUAUCUCUCCCACGCAUUGUAGAGAGAUUCUACAUCUUUUUGUUGAAAUCCAUUGAUUUUAGCUCUCAGCAU